GAUGAACGCUAGCGGCAGGCCUAACACAUGCAAGUCGAGGGGCAUCAUGGCGUAGCAAUACGCUGAUGGCGACCGGCGCACGGGUGCGUAACGCGUAUGGAACCUACCCACCGCAGGGGGAUAACCCGCCGAAAGGCGGACUAAUACCCCAUGGUUCCCCGACCCUGCCUGGGGUUGGGGGUAAAGCCUACGGGCGGCGGUGGAUGGCCCUGCGUGCCAUUAGCUGGCUGGUGGGGUAACGGCCCACCAGGGCGACGAUGGCUAGGGGGUCUGAGAGGACGAUCCCCCACACUGGUACUGAGACACGGCCCAGACUCCUACGGGAGGCAGCAGUGGGGGAUAUUGCACAAUGGAGGAAACUCUGAUGCAGCAACGCCGCGUGAGGAAGAAGGUCUUCGGAUUGUAAACCUUUGUCCUCGGUGACGAUAAUGACGGUAGCCGAGGAGGAAGCUCCGGCUAACUACGUG
rnacentral:rRNA from 1 species